CGAGGCGUGGCUUAGUUUGGUAGAGCGCUGCGUUCGGGACGCAGAGGUCGUGGGUUCGAAUCCCGUCGCCUCGA
rnacentral:tRNA from 1 species